UUGGAGGCACAUAUCAAGGCAGCUCGGAGGGAAGUGAGCCAAAUGACAGAGGCCCAGAGAGGUGCAAUGAAAAGACUGAUGCUCAGGAGGUACAGCCAGAUGACCAUACCUGAAGCACUCGAAACUGCCAAGCAAAGGCUACAAGCCCUGGCCGCCUAAAGAGAUACACCAGAGACAACGAAGGCAGACGAAUAAACCGGCUGUUCGCAACACAACCUGUGAAAGUGUACUGUCAAUGGCAGGGUAAUAACAGCAGAGCAGACCCACCAAUGCUGGAAACUGAACAGUAAUGGAAAGGUAUAUGGGAAAGGGAGGCAUCACACAACAGUGAUGCACAGUGGCUGGUGGACCUGAGAGAAGACCACAGCAACCUCCCUGAACAGAAUCCAGUGACUAUCACAGUGACUAUCACAGCGACAUCCAACAAAGAGUCUCAGGUAUGGACAGCACCCGGCCCUGAAAUGAUCCACGCCUACUGGCUAAAGAAGCUCACUGCAAUCCAUGAGCGCCUGGCAGCACAAAUGAACCAGCUGCUAAGGGAUGGGACCCACCCUGAAUGGCUAACCGAAGGGCGAACAAUCCUGAUAAUGAAGGAUCCCUCAAAGGGUACAGUCCCAUCCAACUACCGCCAAUAACCUGCCUCUCCACAACAUGGAAGCUCAUGUCAGGCAUCAUUGCAGCUAAGAUAAGUAGGCACAUGGGUCAAUACAUGAGCGAAGCACAGAAGAACAUUGGUAAGGAUACCAGAGGAGCCAAACAUCAACUCCUGGUUGACAGAACAGUCUUCCAAGACUGCAGAGUGCAACACACCAACCUGUGCACAGCCUGGAUCGACUACAAGAAAGCUUAUGACUCAAUGCCACACACAUGAAUCACUGAAUGCUUGGAGCUGUUCAACAUCAAUAGAACUCUAAGGGCCUUCAUUGCAAGCUCCAUGAGGUUGUGGAGAACCACCCUUGAAGCCAAUGGGAAGCCACUUGCCCAAGUAUCCAUCAAAUGUGGCAUAUACCAAGAAGAUGCACUGUCCCCACUGCUGUUCUGCAUAGGUCUGAACCCUCUCAGCCAAAUAAUAAAAAAGACUGGCUAUGGAUACCGACUCCGGAACGGGGCCACCAUAUGUCACCUCCUCUACAUGGAUGACAUCAAGCUGUACGCCAAGAAUGAGCGAGACAUCGACUCACUGAUCCACACCACCAGGAUCUACAGCUCGGACAUUGGGAUGUCAUUCGGAUUUGAGAAAUGUGGGAGGAUGGUGACAAAGAGAGGCAAGGUAAUCCACACAGAAGGGGUCUCACUCCCAAAAGGAACAAUAGUAGACAUUGAGGACAGUUACAAGUACCCUGGAAUACCACAGGCGAAUGGCAACCUUGAACAGGCAACAAGGAAUGCGGCAACAGCCAAAUACCUCCAACGAGUAAGGCAAGUCCUAAGAAGCCAGCUCAAUGGCAAGAACAAAUUCCGGACAAUAAACAGCUACACCCUGACAGUUUUUAGAUACCCUGCGGGAAUAAUAAGGUGGCCAAAGGAAAAGAUACAGACCACAGAUGUUCAGACACGAAAGGUGCUCACCAUGCAUGGAGGGUUCCACCCCAAAUCCAGCACCCUGAGACUGUACACUAGCCGCAAGGAAGGAGGCCGAGGACUAGUGAGCAUGAGAGCCACUAUCCAGGAUGAAACAUCCAAAAUCCAUAAGUACAUCAAGGAUAAAGCUCCGACAGAUGACGUGCCUAGUGAAUGUCUCAGGCAGUGGAGAACAGAGGAUGAGAUGCUGGAGGAGGGACCAUCAUGGGAGGACAAGCCCUUGCACGGGAUGUACCACCGGAACAUAACUGAAGUGGCUGAUCUCAACAAAUCCUACCAAUGGCUUGUAAGGGCUAGGCGGAAGGACAGCACAGAGGCACUCAUCCUGGCUGCACAGGAGCAGGCCCUGAGCACCAGAGCCAUAGAAGCCCAGAUCUACCACACCAGACAAGACCCAAGGUGUACACUGUGCAAAGGGGCCCCUGAGACAAUCCAGCACAUAACUACAGGGUGUAAGGUGCUGGCAGGGAAAGCAUACAUGGAACGCCAUAACCAAGUGGCUGGCAUAGUAUACAGGAACAUCAUGCGCAGAGUAUGGACUGGAAACCCUAAGGUCAAAGUGGGAAACACCUCCCAAGGUGGUUGAGAACGAGCGAGCCAAGAUCCUGUGGGACUUCCAGAUACAGACAGACAGAAUGGUAAUAUCGAACCAACCAGACAUUGUGGUGGUGGACAAAGAACAGAGGAAAGCCGUAGUGGUGGAUGUGGCAAUACCAAGCGAUGGCAACAUCAGGAAAAAGGAAAAUGAGAAACUAGAGAAAUACCAAGGGCUCAGAGAAGAACUUGGGAAGGUUUGGAAGGUGAAGGCCACAGUGGUGCCUGUGGUGAUUGGAGCAAUUACAGCAGUUUUGAAUACAGUGCCCUUUAGUCAAACAUUUACUGACAAUUUUUUUUUCAACCAGCCAGGAAUGAAUGACAACUGACAAAGACCAAAAGCUUCCUCAUGCUGAGGGAAGUUCAAUAUUAUCCUCCAGUUUGGCUUCACAUCACACUUGCAAAGAACUGGCUUGUAACGUGAACAAAAGACGAGUAGGUGUGAUGAACCCUCCCCCAAGAAGGACACAAAUUGUGGAAGCUUGUUUCUGCUCCAGUCUGAAAGAGUUGUCAACUUUAAAACAACUUUACAUGAGCCAUGAAAACCAGAUAUAUUUGAAAACUGCUUAACAAGAAAAAAUUCUUCAUGGAUCCAUAACUUUAAAGGUUCCACUCAAAUCAAGGCUUUGUUAACAUAAUGCUGUAUGGAGGGAUUUAGUGUUUGUCCUUACAGUAGGUCACCCUCAAAUGGUUAAGGCACAGAAGCUCCCAGCUAGAGACUCCUUGCCUCUGUUGUUUUUUGUUUAUGACACAAUUUCAAGUGACACAAAAUACAGAGAUUUGCGCACCCAAUUUUCUGUUAAAGAGGCGAGAAGAAUCAGACAAGGCAAAGGAUAUCAGUGCCUCAAGAAUGGAGAGACGUUGGGCCUGGUUGCAGGAAAUCAUCAUCGUCAUCCCCCAUAUCCAGUAAUAAAUGGACAUCUGAAUACAUAUGUGUUAUGAGUAUAUUGUCUAUUGUCUGUCUGUCUGUCUGUCAGUCUGUCAGAUAUACAGUUAUACAGGUCAGAUACUAAAGCUCCACCUUUUGGUUUUACCUUGGAAUUGCGUCUUUGGUGCUAAAAAUGGGGGUGGCCUCAUUAACAUUUUUAACACCUUCUCCAGACAGACCAAGGAGGGGGGCUGCUGACAAUCGGCUCAUGAGGUUGUAAUGAGUGUGGCAAAGCCAGCUGAGGUGGCUUGGGCAUCUGUGUGGAUGCCUCCUGGAAACCCCCUUGGGGUGAUAUUUGGGCAUGUUCCGCAAGUAGGAAUCCCCAGGGAAGACACAGGUCAUGCUGGAGGGACUAUGUCUUUUGGCUGGCCUGGAAAAACCUUGGGGUUCCAAAGGUGUUCCCAAAAGCUUGAGCUAAGCUUAACCUUGAGCUGUCCAGGGAGAGGGAAGUCUGGAGCUCUCUGCUUAGAUUUCUGUGAGCCGGUCCGAAUAAGUGGAUGAAUUUAACGUAAGGUUUAAGACCUUGAAUAAUAAAACCCAACAUAUCCCACAUUCAGCAAGCCUUUUAUUGUAAUAAUUACAAUUUAAAAGUAUCAGUGGGGAGGAAAACUCCAUCUCUAAUGAGGAAGAAACCUCCAGCAGAACCAAGUCAAGUCAAGUCAAGUCAACUUUAUUUAUAAAGCACUUUUAAAAAGGCAGACUGACCAAAGUGCUUAACAAUUUAAAAUAAAAUAGAAUAAAAGAAUAGAACAUAAUAAAAGUGCAAUCAAAAUGCCAUUUCCAACAUAACAUUUAAAUAUUUAAAAGAACUAAGGGGAAUAAAAUACAAUAAAAUUGUUAAAGCCAACUUCUCAUACUGGGUCAAAAGCCAAGGAGAAGUUUUGAGCUUUUAUUUAAAAACAGUCAGUGAGGAGGCCUGUCUAACUUGCAGUGGCAAUGCAUUCCACAACCAGCUGAAGACGGGACAUGGACGAUUGAGAUUCAAAUUAAUAGUUUGUUAUUAAUGCAGAAACAUUAAUAUUCUUUGAAGUUGGGGCACCAGGUUUGUUUUAAAGCUAAAAACAUGCUUGUAUCAAUCUAGUCAACGCCAGAUGUCAAUUCAAUGAGUUACCAGUUAUGAACAACAAUAACAACUUUCUUGUGCUAAAACCAAAUCGGCUCUAAUGAUGUGAAUUCUUGUCCCGGUUCAGUGACCUCUGCUUAAAUCUAAAGAGCAAUGCACACAAAACCAGAUUCCUUUCAACGUUUUAUUCAUCUAAUACUACUGGAUAUAUGAAUAACAUAAUAUGGAAAUACUCAAAUAAUCCGAACAGAAAAUGAGAAAACAAUCAAAAUGAGAUGAUUAACAGUGAAUGAAUCAAUGAGUGAAAGCACAAGGAAUGGUCAAGACCUCAGUGUGUGAUGGCUUUGAUCAAGCGAAAAAAGAGUAUUUGUUUCUAACUUAUACAAAUCUAAGGAUAACUAAUGAAUUUGGAAUGUUCAAUUUUAGCGCUUUGAGAAAUACCAUUCUUCUCAGAGGAUUAGAGAUGUUCGUCUUGUCUUAGUUUGGAGCUGUAGGCCGCUGUGCAGCGUCUCCCGCUAUUGGCUUGGUUGAGCAGGCGUGCCCUCUCUGGUCCAGGUGCCACGGCCUCUGGGCCAGGAAUCGUCGCCCACCGUGAUGAUGAGAGCUCUGGGUCAGGAAAGUUACAGUCAGCCAGGCUGAACUUUCCAAGGUGUUUCAAAGCGUUAGCGCUACUAAAACUAGCCCGAAAAGGAAACAGGCUGGAAUCGAACUUAAUUAGUUCGAUCAAAAAUAGCGAGUCAACUAAUGACUGUUUGUAAUAGUUUCAGUUUCGCAGAGUUUCUUGAUGACUUUCUAACGUAACAAAAUUUGUUGCUCGUUCGUAUUUCUAAGUUUAACUUAUGUUUACAAAAUUUAAGAACAAAGGAAAAUUAAAGAAAAGUAAUGUGACGCAAAAAGAGAAGGUGAAAGAAGUUUGAAGAUAGAGGGAAAUCCGUUUCCACUAGGGUGUCAUUGGUUUAAAUACCCCUGGGGCAGUGGUUACUGCAGGGCGGAGAAAUUAGUUCAUGCAGUGGUGAAGAGUUCCACCUCAUCAGAUCAAGUAUCAAACUAUUUGAUUUGGAUUGCUCCUAAAUCUGGGAUAACUAAGCUUUCCUCUUUUCAUCAAGCUCAAAGUUCCAUCACUUUGGCACUCAAAUAAGCAGAGAAGUCAGAAUGGUUAGCAGAAAUAUUAAAUGCAUAGAAUAUUAAAGUUACACGUGGUCCCUUAAAACGCAGAAACAAAUAAAUGUUAUUCAUGAUGACUGGUCUUGUCUUAUGUAACACCAAGUAAACACUAAAACUUACACAAAUAAGAAACGCAAGCAAAAUCAAAUUAUAAAUAGCUUAAUCUAGACAUUACUAAUUAAACAAUUGUAACACUUAAAAAUGUAAUAUAAUAAUGAGGAUACCUAAUUGUAGCUGGUGGACGUAGCCUAUAUGCAUGUUGCACAGAAUAAAAGAAGUAAGGAAGGUGAAUAUGUGUAAUUCAACUUUUUACGUUCACACAAAGGAAAGCAUGGUGAUAAGUUGAAGUCCCUUUGUAACUUAAGGAAUUUCCUGGCAAAUCUGUAGAUCAGGCAUUAAACAUCACACAGAAACCAAUCAAUCAAUUAAUAUCAAAUGAUAACAUUUUGACCACAGAAUACAAUGGCAUCAGUUUCAUGACAGUUGAAGGUUCUGCUAGAUCUGAACCAGAACUUUUUUAUUACUUCGCAUUCCUGGUUUACGAUCCAGAUCUCCUGGGCGAGUGGGAGAGUCCAUGGAGUGAGUCUUGGUAGAGAAAUUGUGAGACAAGUCUUGGUCUGGUUAGUGAUAAGGCAGAGGAGGACCCUCGUGAGAUUUAGGUUGUGUCACCUAAAAGUAUCCAUGGUCUUUUGAUGUGCACUUAGCAUUAUGUGUGUUGUUUAUGUUAAACUCACAGUUCUGUUGUGAGAGGAAACAGUGUCCUGUGGAAUAGACAGGAAUUGUGUGUAUUCUUAUCUUCUGGUGAAUCGCAGCUUUGUCUCUGUGGAAGGGAGUGAAGCUCACACGUUGUGUUAAGUUACCUAGGUCCAGGCGUGGAUUGCUAAAGAGAACUUUAAAUUAUAUUCUACAUUUUUAUUCUACAUUUUACAGGCAGCCAGUGCAGAGAAGCUAAUGUAGGAGAAACCAAUCAUUGCAUGAUAUAGCAUUGAAUUAUCAACACACUGCUCACAACACACAGUAAUUUCAAUUUACUGUAAGUCCAAGACACAGUCACACUUCUGGGAUACCAACCUGUCCAGUUAGUGAGCAACACUGAUUGUAAAACAAUUUUACCUGAUAUUACAACAAACAACAGGUGAAAAUUAAAGACAUGUACUGUAGCAAGACAAUUCCUAUAAAGAAAUGGUUCAGCAGGUCGUGGCCUCAGACCAUUUACCUUUCCUCAACCUUUUUUUGCAUUUUGCCUGUGCCCCAGUCACUGGAGGUAGCAUAAGGUCUUUGUCUGCAACCCAUAGAUUUUGCUUACAUGUAGGUAGUGCAGCUCAUUUAGGAUGGCACAUCAAUGAGCAAUGUGACAUGAAGAUUUGCUGUAUCUCCCAUCAUGGACAGCAGGAGACGUGGAAGAGGCCCUAGAAAGACAAGUCAGCUGCAAGACUUUUUCUGCUUCUUUGAGUAAGAAGGAUUAACAGGAGCACUGCCAGAGCCCCUAGAAUGACCUCCAGCAGACCACUAAUGUGAUGUCCUUCUCCAUUAGAGUGGUGUGAAGGAACAGGUGGGGCCUGUGAUCACAGUUCAACACCAUGACUUUCCUUGGAGACCUCUAGGUGCCAGCCAGAAGUGCCUGACUGCCAUUAGGUACCUAGAUGGGAUACUCACAUCCAUUGUGCCCCUUCUGGUUCAUGACAAUGGUUCAUCUCGCUGAAGUGUGUCAGCAGCUCUUGCAUGACAAAGGCACUGAUGCUAUGGACCAUUCCCCAAACCAGAAUCCAACUGAGCAGCUCUGGGACGUCAUGUCUUCCAUUCACAGACUUCCAAGUAGUUGACUAAUGUCCUGAUCCAGGUCUGGGAGAAGAUCCCUUUGGAGAACAUCUGCUGUCUCAUCAGGAGGUGGCCCAUAUGUGAGCCACACACUACUGAGCCUCACUUUGAAUAGACUUGAUGAAUUUCAAUAGAAGUUCAUCUUGUGAUCUGACUGUCUCACUUCUUAAUAGACCUCAUUGGAAUAUUGAUUUUUAUUUCAUCAUUCUUGUGUCAUUUGUUCUCUGUAUUUUACUAUGUGGUAAAUAUUUUCAAGUGGGAGAUUUAAUUUAGCUAAAUUUAGAAUGUUUGUGUUUGUAUGUGUGGUGGUGUGGAGGUUUGCCCCACCCACCUUCCAGCCAAGAUGGGAAAUAAUUGGCUCCCUGGGAGGCGGGCCAGGCUGGUGCCUUUAAGUACAGGUGAACACCUGAUUAGGGCUCUUUGUUGGCUUGUGGCUGGUGCCCAUGAGCGCAGGUGAGCACCCGAAUAAGAUCGUUGUGGUUUAUCCGUGGCUGCAGUGGUGCGCCUGUGUACGAUCGCUACAGGCAAGGGGAGCUGCUGUCUGUGUGGUGAUGCAGGGUUUUGAGUCCCCCCCUCAGGUGCAGCGCUUAUGAGCAACUCUUUUUUUCCAGAGCCGGACCCCUUCACAGAGCUGGCAUCAUAAUAAAAGCUAUCCGGGCUGGCAUUAGCUCGAGUCACGGCGGGUGGUGUUCAGCGCGCCAGCGGCUGGGGAGAGCGGAGUCUCGCUGGUAAGCGACGACUGCGGGGGCAGCGACCGGGAAGCACAGCUGCGCUACAGUCCAGAUUACCGCUUUGGGUCUGGAUGCGAGUGCAAACCACGGGUUUGUGCCCUUCCCCGACGCUGCUGUUUCUGGCUUUUCUGGCUUCUUCUUUUAUUGUGUCUCGGUUUCGCCAAGGUUUCGGUCCCUCGGAUGUUUUGGUUUCUAUUUUGUUGUUUUUGUUAUUUUUUUAUUUUGGUUUGCCGUGAUUUUGCAUGGUGUGAUUUUGGUUUGUGUUACUUUUGGUGUUUGUAUUACUCAACUUACCUUGUGUGGUGUAUUUUAAUUGCGCAAUACAUUUUAAAGAAUAAACAUUGUCGAGUGUGAACGUC